CCUACGGGUGGCAGCAGUGGGGAAUAUUGCACAAUGGGGGAAACCCUGAUGCAGCGACGCCGCGUGAGUGAAGAAGUAUCUCGGUACGUUAAGCUCUAUCAGCAGGAAAGAAAAUGACGGUACCUGACUCAGAAGCCCCGGCUAACUACGUGACAGCAGCCGCGGUACUACGUAGGGGGCCAGCGUUAUCCGGAUUUACUGGGUGUUAAGGGAGCGUAGACGGCGUGGCAAGUCCGGAGUGAAAGCCCAUGGCUUAACCAUGGUACUGCUAUGGAAACUGUAGAGCUUGAGUGCGGGAGGGGCAGGCGGAAGUCCUGGUGUAGCGGUGAAAUGCGUAGAUAUUAGGAGGAACACCGGCGGCGAAGGCGGCCUGCUGGACCGUAACUGACGUUGAGGCUCGAAAGCGUGGGGAGCAAACAGGAUUAGAUACCCUUGUAGUC
rnacentral:rRNA from 1 species